UUUAAAUAUGGUUUGAACAUUUUUCUUUGACACUUUCAAAUGAUUGAUUAGUAGUAGAACAUCGUUGGGCAGCAGUAGACAUCAGCUAUUAGAUAAAACAUCACAUGAUUUUAUGAUCAAAUAUUAAACACAUGAAUGCCAAAUAUAUUUAAAUGGCGAACACUCGUGAUUAUUGAAAACAAAUGUGUAUUGUGUAUAAAAGAUUUUUAUUUUUCCAAUUUUAUUUUAGCGGACAAAAUGAAUUGUAUCCGCGUGAGAACGUGUUGUUUUAUGUGUUCGGUAACGACAGGGAGCAAAAUUUUUGGAUGGGUCAUAACACUUGCUUCAACCGCCGGGAUUAUCUAUCUAGCUGCUACGUUCAACGAUGUCUUCACACCUCCUGUGUCGAUAGCAGGACUUACAUUUGCAGGCCUAGUCCUCUUUGGUGGGGUCACCCUCCUCGUCGGAAUCUAUAGUGAGUCGUCCAACGCCGUUCUCGGGGCGCUGAUCGUACUCGUCCUGGUAUUUUUAGGAGCAGUGGCCUUGGCCGUGCCUUUCGCCGAAGGGUACAUCACUGGAAAAGUCUCGUUUAUGAAAACUUUGCCGUCGUUCGCCGGGAUAAUACUGCUUAUCCUUGGCUCAGGUUUCAGUGUAAUUAUCACGAACAGUUAUCGCCUCGACAAGAUAGAAGAGUUACUCGCCAUGUACGCCCCCGAUUCGAUGGCACUAAGUGACGAAGAGAUAAUCAUCGUGAACCGUCCUAAUUACGCCUUUCCUCCAGGGCCUGGCCCUGCACACCAGCUCGCCCAGGGUGCCACGAUGAAACAGCCGGACAGGUUCAGAUAUGGAAAGCACCCAAGAGAUGCGAUCGACCCCAGGAAGUUCUCCAGGCACGGCCACCGUUACUCUCCCAACCAGCGAAGAUAUUAUCCGACCCAGUCGUACGCUGUAUACAGGCCGAUUUACAGGAGAGCAGUUCUCACAGGCCAGGCCAAACCUACCGAAGGCAUCUUCGGCACUUACGAACUCAAGUACAAGCCUCCGGACGGAACUUAUUACUAAAUGAGACAGUGUUGUUUAGUGUAUUUACGGCAUACUACUGUGGAAUGUCCAGGCUAAAAGAAAGUUUACUACUUGUAUCAGAUGAUAGUCAUUAAUAGCGCUCGUCGGGAAGUGAAACGGAACAGAG
rnacentral:misc_RNA from 1 species